GACGAACGCUGGCGGCGUGCUUAACACAUGCAAGUCGAGCGGUAAGGCCCUUUCGGGGGUACACGAGCGGCGAACGGGUGAGUAACACGUGGGUGACCUGCCCUCAGCUCUGGGAUAAGCCUGGGAAACUGGGUCUAAUACUGGAUAUGACUCACGGUGCAUGUCGUGGGGUGGAAAGCCUUGUGCGGCUGAGGAUGGGCCCGCGGCCUAUCAGCUUGUUGGUGGGGUGAUGGCCUACCAAGGCGACGACGGGUAGCCGGCCUGAGAGGGCGACCGGCCACACUGGGACUGAGACACGGCCCAGACUCCUACGGGAGGCAGCAGUGGGGAAUCUUGCGCAAUGGGCGAAAGCCUGACGCAGCGACGCCGCGUGAGGGAUGACGGCCUCGG
rnacentral:rRNA from 1 species